GGCGCAAGGACAGGAUUGGUUACUUCAAGUGCUGGGUUUUAGAUGUUUCAGAAAGGACAGGGAGGGAGGCAAAAGAAGUGGGGGUGUGGUACUGUUGAUCAGAGAUAGCGUCAUGGCUGCAGAAAAGGUGGACACAAUGGAGGAAUUGUCUACAGAGUCUCUGUGGGUGGAGGUUAGGAACGGGAAGGGGUCAAUAACUUUACAGGGUGUUUUUUAUAGGCCGCCCAAUAGUAACAGGGAUAUCAUGGAGCAGACAGGGAAACAGCCUGGAAAGAUGUAAUAAUAACAAGAGUUGUCAUGAUGGGAGAUUUUAAUUUUCCAAAUAUCGAUUGGCAUCUCCCUAGAGCAAGGGGUUUAGAUGGGGUGGAGUUUGUUAGCUGUGUUCAGGAAGGUUUCUUGACACUAUGUAGAUAAGCGUACAAAAGAAGAGGCUCUACUUGAUUUGGUAUUGGGGAAAUGAACCUGGUCAGGUGUCAGAUCUCUCAAUGGGAGAGCAUUUUGGAGAUAGUGAUCAUAAUUCUAUCUCCUUUACAAUAGCAUUGGAAAGAGAGGAACAGACAAGUUAGAAAAGUGUUUAAUUGGAGUAAGGGGAAUUAUCAGGCUUAAAUUGGAAGCUUAAAUUGGAAAGAGAUGUUCUCAGGGAAAAGUAUGGAAGAAAUGUGGCAAAUAUUCAGCGGAUAUUUGUGUAGAGCUCUGUAUAGGUAGGUUCUAAUGAGACAGGGAAGCUAUGGUAGGGUACAGGAACUGUGGUGUACAAAGGCUGUAAUCUAGCCAAGAAGAAAAGAAAAGCUCACAGAAGGUUCAGAGAGCUAGGUAAAUGUUAGAGAUCUAGAACAUUACAAGCUAAUAGGAAGGAGCUUAAGAAGGAAAUUAGGAGAGCCAGAAGGGGCUAUGAGAAGUUAGGCAGGAUUAAGGAAAACCCCAAAGCAUUUUCCAAGUAUGUGAAGAGCAAGAGGAUAAGACGUGAAAGAAUAGGAUCAAGUGUGACAGUGGGAAAGUAUGUAUGGAACUGGAGGAAAUAGCAGAGGUACUUAAUACUUUGCUUCAGUGUUCACUAUGGAAACCAUCUUGGUGACUUCCAGCAGACUGAAAAGCUUGAGUAUGUAGAUAUUAAGAAAGAGGGUUUGCUGGAGCUUUUGGAAAGAAUCAAGUUGGAUAAGUCACCGGGACCGGAUGAGAUGUGGAAGGCAAGGGAGGAGAUUGCUGAGCCUCUGGAGAUGAUCCUGACAUCAUCAAUGGGGAUGGGAGAGGUUCCGGAGGAUUGGAGGGUUGCGGAUGUUGUUCCUUUAUUCAAGAAAGGGAGUAGCGAUAGCCCAGGAAAUAAUACACCAAUGAGUCUUACCUCAGUGGUUGAUAAGUUGAUGGAGAAGAUCCUGAGAGGCUUUAUGAACAUUUGGAGAGGUAUAAUAUGAUAUGGGAUAGUCAGCAUGGCUUUGUGAAGGGCAGGUCAUGUCUUAUGAGCCUGAUUGAAUUUUUUGAGCAUGUGACUAAACACAUUGAUGAAGGAAGAACAAUGGAUGUAGUGCAUAUGGAUUUCAGCAAUGCAUUUGAUAAGGUACCCCAUGGAAGGCUUACUGAGAAAGUAAGGAGGCAUGGGAUCCAAGGGGACAUUGCUUUGUGGAUCUAGAACUGGCUUGCCCACAGAAGUAAGAGUGGUUGUAGAUGGGUCAUAUUCUGCAUGGAGGUCGGUCAUCAGUGGAGGGCCUCAGGGAUCUGUUUUGGGACCCUUACUCUUCAUGAUUUUUAUAAAUGACCUGGAUGUGGAAGUGCAGGGAUGGGUUAGUAUGUUUGCUGAUGACACAAAGGUCAGAGGUGUUGUGGAUAGUGUGGAGGGCUGUCAGAGGUUACAGCGGGACAUUGAUAGGAUGCAAAACUGGGCUGAGAAGUGGCAGAUGGAGUUCAACCCAGAUAAGUGUGAAGUGGUUCAUUUUGGUAGGUCAAAUAUGAUGGCAGAAUAUAGUAUUAAUGGUAAGACUCUUGUUGGUGUGGAGGAUCAGCGGGAUCUUGGGGUCUGAGUCCAUCGGACGCUCAAAGCAGCUGUGCAGGUUGACUCUGUGGUUAAGAAGGCGUACAGUGUAUUAGCCUUCAUCAAUUGUGGAAUUGAAUUUAGGAGCUGAGAGGUAAUGUUGCAGCUAUAGAGGAUCCUGGUCAGACCCCACUUGGAGUACUGUGCUCAGUUUUGGUCGCCUCACUACAGGAAGGAUGUGGAAGCCAGAGAAAGGGUGCAGAGGAGAUAUACAAUGAUGUGGCCUGGAUUGGGGAGCAUGCCCUAUGAGAAUAGGUUGAGUGAACUCGACCUUUUCUCCUUGGAGCGGCGGAGGAUGAUGGGUGAUCUAAUAGAGGUGUACAAGAUGAUGAGAGGCAUUGAUCAUGUGGAUAGUCAGAGGCUUUUUCCCAGGGCUGAAAUGGUUGCCACAAGAGGACACAGGUUUAAGGUGCUGAGCAGUAGGUACAGAGGAGAUGUCGGGUAAGGUUUUACUCAGAGAAUGGUGAGUGCGUAGAAUGGGCUGCCGGCAACAAUGGUGGAGGUGGAUACGAUGGGGUCUUUUAAGAGAGUUUUGGAUAGGUACAUGGAGCUUAGAAAAAUAGAGGGCUGUAGGUAAGCCUAGUAAUUUCUAAGGUUGGGACAUGUUCGGCACAACUUUAGUCCAAAAACAUAGAAAACCUGCAGCCCACAAAGAGGAUUAAGGCACAGUGAUUCUGGAGUUUAAGACUCUGGAUAUGUGAGAUGUUGGGGGCCAAUAUUGGAGGAACAUGGAGAGUGUUAUUCUGGAGGCUGCUAUGGAGAAGGGCUAAGCUGUUCUGAAAAUUUGAGGGAUUGCUGAACUGAGGGUAAAUGGGCAAAGGCACUGACACCAGUUGAUUUAAUUCAAUUUUAAUGCUUUUUAGAGCUGUUAGUGCACAGAUGGUGUCUAUCCAGCCCACCAGAUGGAUACAAGCUGUAUGUCAAGCAAUCCAGCCUGUCCAGCUCUUUCCCAGCACUCUAAUUUUCUUUUGGAAGCCCUGCGUGACUCCUGGUAAUUAAAGCAGAUGUUAAUUUUCCAACAUCCCUGCAUUAUCCUCGUCAGCACCACAAGAGGCUUUUGUCUGAUUGGACAGCGGAAAGUAGGCAACCACUGGACAGAGUGGUUUGACAAGAACGAGGCCCAUCUUGCGUCUGUUGGUGCUUCCACCUCUCGAAGUUCAUGGUCCUCAAAAUAAUUGCCACCCACCCCUCUGAGCAUGCUGGUCCAGCAGCAGGGAACAACGGCAUGUCAAAGUGGCCCCAGACUGAACCUCAGGUGUUGGAGAGGACCACUUGUUGAGAUAUCACCAAUGUAAGAUCAUAUCAGGCUACCUCCCUGCCCAGUUGUCCCCCUUCUCCCCUCCUCAGUUUGCUGGUCCACACCAUUCUCCCUCCUUUUGCUAACCGAAUCGCCCCACUGAUUCCCACCCCUUCUCUACCUUCCAAACACCAACUCCUUCCCCUCCCCACAGCAUUCUCUCCUUUACUUUCCAAUCUUCCUCUCCUUCCCCAAACUCCCUAUACUCAUUUAGAACAUAGUCCCUUCAGCCACAAUGUUGUCACAAUCUGUUAACCUGUUCCAAGAUCAAUCUAACCCUUUCCUCCUACAUAACCAUUUUUCUUUCAUCCCUGUGCCAAUCUCAGUCUUUUAAAUGUCCCUAAUAUAUUUGUUUUUACCAUCACUUCUUGUUCCAGACACCCGACACCCUGUUUAAAAGGACAAAAAAGUUCUGAUCACCCACCCCUGCUAUACCUGAAAAUGAUGGCCCGAGCAUUAGCCAUACUGACCUUGGGGGAAAAAGUCUGGCAAAUCAUAUCCAUUCUACCUACAGUAUGCUUCUUAUCAUCUUGUACACCUUCAUUAAGUCACCUCUCAUCCUCCUUUGGUCCAAAUGGAAAAGCCCUAGCUCGCUCAGACUAUCCUCAUAAGAAAUACAUAAUGAAUACUUCUGUUUGGUAUUCACCAAUGAAAGGGAGUUUGAUGAUGGUGAGGACAAUAUGAGUGAGGUUGAUGUUCUGGAGCAUGUUGAUAUUAAGGGAGAGGAGGUGUUGGAGUUGUUAAAAUACAUUAGGACGGAUAAGUCCCUGGGGCCUGACAGAAUAUUCCCCAGGCUGCUCCACGAGGCAAGGGAAGAGAUUGCUGAACCUCUGGCUAGGAUCUUUAUGUCUUCAUUGUCCACGGGAAUGGUACCGGAGGAUUGGAAGGAGGCGAAUGUUGUCCCCUUGUUCAAAAAAGGUAGUAGGGAUAGUCCAGGUAAUUAUAGACCAGUGAGCCUUAUGCCUGUGGUGGGAAAACUGUUGGAAAAGAUUCUUAGAUAUAGGAUCUAUGGGCAUUUAGAGAAUCAUGAUCUGAUCAGGGACAGCCAGCAUGGCUUUGUGAAGGGCAGAUCGUGCCUAACAAGCCUGAUAGAGUUCUUUGAGGAGGUGACCAGGUAUAUAGAUGAGGGUAGUGCAGUGAAUGUGAUCUACAUGGAUUUUAGUAAGGCAUUUGACAAGGUUCCACAUGGUAGGCUUAUUCAGAAAGUCAGAAGGCAUGGGAUCCAGGGAAGUUUGGCCAGGUAGAUUCAGAAUUGGCUUGCCUGCAGAAGGCAGAGGGUCGUGGUGGAGGGAGUACAUUCAGAUUGGAGGGUUGUGACUAGUGGUGUCCCACAAGGAUCUGUUCUGGGACCUCUACUUUUCAUGAUUUUUAUUAGCUACCUGGAUGUGGGGAUAGAAGUUUGCAGAUGACACAAAGGUUGGUGAUGUUGUGGAUAGUGUUGAGGAUUGUCGAAGAUUGCAGAGAGACAUUGAUAGGAUGCAGAAUUGGGCUGAGAAGUGGCAGAUGGAGUUCAACCCAGAGAAGUGUGAGGUGGUCACUUUGGAAAGACAAACUCCAAGGCAGAGUACAAAGUAAAUGGCAGGAUACUUGCUAGUGUGGAGGAGCAGAGGGAUCUGGGGGUACAUGUCCACAGAUCCCCAAAAGUUGCCUCACAGGUAGAUAGGGUAGUUAAGAAAGCUUAUGAAGUGUUAGCUUUCAUCAGUCGAGGGAUAGAGUUUAAGAGACACGAUGUAAUGAUGCAGCACCAUAUAACUCUAGUUAGGCCAGACUUGGAGUACUGUGUCCAAUUCUGGUCGCCUCACUAUAGAAAGGAUUUGGAAGCAUUGGAAAGGGUACAGAGGAGAUUUACCAGGAUGCUGCCUGGUUUAGAGAGUAUGGAUUAUGAUCAGAGAUUAAGGGAGCUAGGGCUUUACUCUUUGGAGAGGAGGAGGAUGAGAGGAGACAUGAUAUAGGUGUACAAGAUAUUAAGAGGAAUAGACAGAAUGGACGGCCAGCACCUCUUCCCCAGGGCACCACUGCUCAAUACAAGAGGAUAUGGCUUUAAGGUAAGGGGAGGGAGUUCAAGGGGGAUAUUAGAGGAAGGUUUUUCACUCAGAGAGUGGUUAGUGCGUGGAAUGCACUGCCUGAGUCAGUGGUGGAGGCAGAUACACUAGUGAAGUUUAAGAGACUACUAGACAGGUAUAUGGAGGAAUUUAAGGUGGGGGGUUAUACAGGAGGCAGGGUUUGAGGGUCGGCACAACAUUGUGGGCCGAAGGGCCUGUAAUGUGCUGUACUAUUCUAUGUUCUAAAACAUCCUGGUAAAUGCUCUCUCCACGUCCUUCCUAUAAUAGGAUGAUCAGAACAAUGCUUUGCUUCCCCUUCCAUUCAGAGACAAUCCCCAGCUUGCCAAUCCUUUCUUCUCUCUUCCACCCCUGGCCUACCCUGUCCCUCCCAAAUCAGCCCUUCCCAUUGCCUACCCUCUCAUUUAUCCAGAGGGUGGGAAGAAUGUGGAACUCAUUCCAGCUGAAUUGAAUGUGAGGGCAAAUUGGAUAACAGCAAUUUCACAUUGACAAAGUUUGCAUUUUCAUAUAGGAGGCCAUUUGGCCCAAUACACCAAUUCUAGCUGAAUGCCACCCCCAUCCCCAACUUAUUUUCCCUGCACCCAAGUCUUUCCAUCUGUUCUACCACCUGCUACACAAGGGGCAAUUUACAGUUAUGGUUCUGGGAUUGAAUGGCGUAGUUCUGGGAUGUUGGAAUUCCCCAAGGAAACCCAUGGGAAACUCCACGCAGGCAGCAGGAUCAAAGCUGGCUCACUGGAGUGAUGAAGCAGUGGCUCUAUUGGCUGCAGCACUGCUGGGAGGGCAAGGGAGAUGAGGCGUGGUUCUCAAACCAACCUCUGGUCAAACCGCAUCAUCAGAAGCUCAAUGAAAGAGGGUGGUGUUAUAGGUGGCCUGAGGGAGAGGGAGUCGAAGGUGUUCUGGGAGUAGAGUUUAAUUAUAGUUGAAGGGGGAGUCAGAGAGGUUGGUGAUGUUAGAGCUGAGACUAGGCUCUUAAUGCUGGGGAGAGGUAUCUGUGGUAAGGGCAGGAGGGUGCCAAGUGAGGAUUCCUCAGCUCUGUGCCAGUCAUAACAGCAGGGCAGAGGUUUAAUGGGGUGAGGCAUCUGGUAAGGGUGGGAGAGGGCCAGACAUACCAUGCUUGGUGCUGUUGUUUGACAGGUGUGUUGAACCAAGCCUCUGUGUGUUCAAAGGACGACACCCAGCACACCAUGAAAGCUCCAAGGAAGCAGCCAAUGAAAUCCAAGCGAAGGCUGGAGCACCUAAGAGCAUAGGCAUCAGAUUUGCUGUUGAAAUAUCUACCAGAAUCCAUGAUGCUCAGUUUAUCUCAGGCAAAGCCUCUUCAUUGAGCACACUUACAAGGGGAGCAGCACACAUCAUCAAGGACCCCCACCAUUCAGGCCUUGCACUCUACUUGCUGCUCUCAUACAGUAGGAGGUACGGGAGCCUUGUGAACCAUAACAGUUAUUACCCUUCAACCAUCAGGCAUUUGGACCAGCGUGGAUAACCUCAUUCACCUCAGCUCUGAACCAAUUCCACAACCUACAGACUAAUGUUUGGACUCAACAAGUUAUGUACUCAAUAUUAUUUAUUUAUAUUAUUUGCACAAAUUGUCUUCUAUUGCACAGUGACUGUUUGUCAGUCUUUGUUAUUUAUACUUUUUAAUAAACCAUGACAUUAUUUCAUUUUCCUGUAAAUACCCAUAGGGGGCUGAUGACACCAGCUUAUUUGACAGCAGUGUUGGGAAUAGCUGUGGUGGAGAUAUUGCUGCCUGUCCCUACUGAUUGUGGUCUGUUAUCCAGGAAGUCCAGCAUCCAAUUGUAGAGGGUGUCAUAGACUCCUAAUUCAGAGGUUGCUUGAAAUUAGAGUACUGAACACAGAGUUGCAGUCUGACAUAGGUGUCUCGACUGUCCAGAAGCUCCAGAAACAAGUGUCAAGACAAGGAGAUGACAUCUGCCUUAUUCCUGUUUCAGCAGUAGGUGAAUUGCAGUAGGUCGAGGUUGUCUGGGCAGUUGAUGGUGUUGGGCUGUGUGUUUGAAUUGCAGUGGGUCGAGGUUGUCUGGGCCGUUGAUGGUGUUGGGGUGUGUGCGUGAAUUGCAGUGGGUCGAGGUUGUCUGUGCCGUUGAUGUUGAUUGUGUCGGGGUGUGUGGGUGAAUUGCAGUGGGUCAAGGUUGUCUGGGCCAUUGAUGUUGAUGGUGUUGGGUUGUGUCGGUGAAUUGCAGUGGGUCGAAGUUGUCUGGGCCAUUGAUGGUAUUGGGGUGUGUGGGUGAACUGCAGUGGGUCGAAGAUGUCUGGGCAGUUGGUGGUGUUCGGGUGUAUGGGAGAAUUGCAGUGGUUCGAGGUUGUCUGGGCCAUUGAUGGUAUUAGACAAUAGACAAUAGGUGCAGAAGUAGACCAUUCGGCCCCUCGAGUCUGCACUGCCAUUCUGAGAUCAUGGCUGAUCAUUCACUAUCAAUACCCAGUCCCUGCCUUGUCCCCAUAUCCCUUGAUUCCCCUAUCCAUCAGAUAUCUAUCCAGCUCCUUCUUGAAAGCAUCCAGAGAAUUGGCCUCCACCGUCUUCCGAGGCAGU